GAUGAACGCUGGCGGCGUGCCUAAUACAUGCAAGUCGAGCGAAUGGAUUAAGAGCUUGCUCUUAUGAAGUUAGCGGCGGACGGGUGAGUAACACGUGGGUAACCUGCCCAUAAGACUGGGAUAACUCCGGGAAACCGGGGCUAAUACCGGAUAACAUUUUGAACCGCAUGGUUCGAAAUUGAAAGGCGGCUUCGGCUGUCACUUAUGGAUGGACCCGGGUCGCAUUAGCUAGUUGGUGAGGUAACGGCUCACCAAGGCAACGAUGCGUAGCCAACCUGAGAGGGUGAUCGGCCACACUGGGACUGAGACACGGCCCAGACUCCUACGGGAGGCAGCAGUAGGGAAUCUUCCGCAAUGGACGAAAGUCUGACGGAGCAACGCCGCGUGAGUGAUGAAGGCUUUCGGGUCGUAAAACUCUGUUGUUAGGGAAGAACAAGUGCUAGUUGAAUAAGCUGGCACCUUGACGGUACCUAACCAGAAAGCCACGGCUAACUACGUGCCAGCCGCCGCCGUAA
rnacentral:rRNA from 1 species